AAAGUGCGAUACGUGGUGCGACCUGCACGAACCUGUGAGUCAUCGAAUCUUUGAACGCAACUUGCGCCCUCGGGCAUGUGUGCUUGAGCCGGCCACAAGCUGGCUUGCCUGUGUUGGGGGACGACGCGUCGCCCCCGAAACGCGUGUCUGCGGCGCGACCAGGACGGUGUUUCCGCGCGUGCGCGGGACAUUUGGCCGCGCGCCUCUGCAUGCCGCUCAGCCACACAAGAUCACCCGCUGGACUUAA
rnacentral:misc_RNA from 1 species